GUCAAGGCGACAAUUUCCAAUAAUAUGGAACAGAACUUCUCAGCCGAUGCUAUGAGCUCAGCAGGCGACAUAGAAGAAAGCAUGAGUCUAAGUUAUCCUCUGAUGCCAACGGAGGAAAUAAUUGUGGAAGGGGACGAGUAAGUAUGAUAUUCCUCUUUCGAGUAACCCAAGGCUGAAGCACAACCGAUUUUUGUGCUCUACCAACUAUGGUGAAACCUCGAGCUAUAUGAAAUGUUGCCACACUUUAUGUAUCUCUGUAGGUUCCGUGCAUAUGAGCAGAGCAGAUUAACUACGUCACCCCUAUGCACACCGUAUUUAGCUUCACAAGUCCUUUUUGUUAAUUUCUGUAGUUUACUACAGGAAGGGAUGCUAACAGGACCAACGAGAGCCUUGCUCAAAAAAGAUCAGUCGUACUUGGAACGUGUACAUUGUGUUGGCAAUAUGCAUCGCUUGAUAAGUGGCUCGGAACCUUAAGAUGAGUGUGCGGAAUCGCUGGCUUAAGGUGGUGGUCGCCGGUUUAAGGAAUUCGAGACCGUUUCUGAGGAUCUCCAGGAUCCGGGAUUGAAUAUCGAGAGUAAGAUAAACCGACACAGCGCGCAGACACAACCCUGAUGCAACAACACUGACUCAAAAAUACUCUAAAAGCCCCAAAAGCCAAGCCCUGAUGUCCGUUCUCAUCCCUUUAGAUAACCGAACUGGUCUGUCGUCUCCUCAUUCUCAAUUGCAUUAGUGAUGCGUCCACUAUGGGACACAAGACAUCCGCAUUAAAUUGUUUUCUCUUA